rnacentral:lncRNA from 1 species
CGGGUAGAAAAGUGUCAGUGAAAUCAAAUCAAUUUUAAUUAGGCAUUCGACUUAACUUCGGACUCGUCUCGCCUGCGUGUGUGUGUGGGGUCUGUGGCAGUGGCAAGUGGCAGCUGAUUAAACUAGCCGCUGGCUCUGUUUAAAUCUAUUUUAACCACAUGACUGGUUUUGAUGUGAAACAUAUACACUGAAAGAAAGGGGAGUAGGACUUUAAGCGGUUGCCUGGAAGAAGUAAUUCUUUGAAUUUUAAACGAUUGAUUCCUUCAACAAGAUUCCCCAAGGAUUCCUGAUGUUUCCCUCAAAAAAUGUAUACCCUCAAGUCUUUUUGUUUUACAUGCCAAAGCAUAUUUCACAAUGUGAUUCUAGAGCUACAAUGCACCCAUUCAGCCAUCAAAAACAUUAACAAAGUGCUGGAAAAUACCCGAACGUGCAUUGACACCAAUUGCAUGCAAUCGAAUUGAAUCGAAUUGCCUGGAAUCGACUCGAAUUCAAUGCCCUGGAAUUGUGCGAUUGAGCUUCGGGCUAUGCAGAGGCAUUUUAAUUGUUUCGGCCACAGAAAACAUUCAAGUAGAGAGACACUUCGGCACGGGCCGAUGCUUUUGUCGGCCAAUUAGCUUUAAUAAAAAGUAUUUCAAUAAAUUAUACGCACUUGCCAUAAUCGCUGAC